AAACCUAAGACAGGAAAUGUAGCCAAUAAAAGUCUUUGACAUUGUUUCCUGUGCCCUGCCCUCCACAGUGCUCAGGAAGCAGAGUCAGAGAAGAAUAAGGCCACUUUUUCCCCAAGGCGAGUAGAACGCAGCACUUCAGAGCUGAAGAAUGUCUCUUCCUUUGUUUCUGGCAAUGAGUUCAUCAUGAAUCGAGGGGUAUAAAAGAAAUUUUCCUGUACUUCUUUGGUAUUCUUCAAAUGUUGGAUAAAUAAUCAACCACCAGGUUCCAGAUGCCAUCAGGAUGCUGGCCAGGCUUCCCUGGACUGAAGACCCCACCAACGUGUCCUGGAGCUCCACUUCCCCAGA